GACGAACGCUGGCGGCGUGCUUAACACAUGCAAGUCGAACGGAAAGGCCCUGCUUUUGUGGGGUGCUCGAGUGGCGAACGGGUGAGUAACACGUGAGUAACCUGCCCUUGACUUUGGGAUAACUUCAGGAAACUGGGGCUAAUACCGGAUAGGAGCUCCUGCUGCAUGGUGGGGGUUGGAAAGUUUCGGCGGUUGGGCAUGGACUCGCGGCUUAUCAGCUUGUUGGUGGGGUGGUGGCUUACCAAGGCUUUGACGGGUAGCCGGCCUGAGAGGGUGACCGGCCACAUUGGGACUGAGAUACGGCCCAGACUCCUACGGGAGGCAGCAGUGGGGAAUAUUGCACAAUGGGCGGAACCCUGAUGCAGCAACGCCGCGUGCGGGAUGACGGCCUUCGGGUUGUAAACCGCUUUCGCCUGUGACGAAGCGUGAGUGACGGUAAUGGGUAAAGAAGCACCGGCUCACUACGUG
rnacentral:rRNA from 1 species